CAGCGCCGCGGGAAUACGAAGGGGGCUAGCGUUGUUCGGAAUUACUGGGCGUAAAGCGCACGUAGGCGGAUAUUUAAGUCAGGGGUGAAAUCCCAGAGCUCAACUCUGGAACUGCCUUUGAUACUGGGUAUCUUGAGUAUGGAAGAGGUGAGUGGAAUUCCGAGUGUAGAGGUGAAAUUCGUAGAUAUUCGGAGGAACACCAGUGGCGAAGGCGGCUCACUGGUCCAUUACUGACGCUGAGGUGCGAAAGCGUGGGGAGCAAACAGGAUUAGAUACCCCGGUAGUCCCUGUCUCUUAUACA
rnacentral:rRNA from 1 species